CUUCGAGGGAAGUCCAGUGGGUGGAUCUGGAUUUGAUCCAGCUUCUCCUACGCCUUAUUGUCAUUGGUCAGUUCAGAAGUUGGGUGCAGAUACAUUCCUUAGACACCCAUGCGGGGUCAUCAUUCAUUUUUACCAUGAAAUGUUAAAAACGUGCUUAUUAGAGUAGGGUUAACACGAUGGUCCCUUAUUGUCAUUUCCGCUAACCAUCACCAGAUCAUCACCAUCUGGAUUUUUUUCCUCUUGCCAAAGUCUUCACUUGCAAAGUCGUUGUCAUUGGGCGUGUGUUUCCAGGACAGUAACCAAGUCCCGUAGCCCCUUGAAUUUUGAGCUGUCAUAUACAAAAUUAUUCUGCACAACAACAUAAGAGCACAGGAUCGUAGCCCGGCCACCUGAAGGAAAUAAUAUACAGUACAGGUAAAUAUUUCAAAUGAUAUUUCAAAAACAUUAUAACAACAACAACAACCACAACAUAGUUUCUUAAAAGAUGUUUUAGUAAAUAUAUUUUUAUUCAGCUUAAUGCUUUGCAAUAUCCAUUUAAUCUUGAUGCAUUUGCAUGCAUUUGAAUUUGCAUAUGAAUUUGUAUAAGAUCGCUCCUCCUCCAGAAUGUUUAUUUUUAACAACAAGAACACUGGUUUGUUGUCAAAAGUGAAAUGUUAGUGGGCGGAGCGAAGGAAUUUUUGUUUCCGAAAGUUUUGGACGAGCUUUAAAGGGCGCAUUUGGUGACUGGAUGAUUCAGAACAGACGGUUAAGACAUAAACGCACUUCUUGGUUUCUUUGAACGCCAGAUUGACUGCUCUGCAUCGCUCUCUUGUUUACCCAGGAGUCAGGACUAACAAGUAUAAAAGUUACUGAGUCAAUCUGAUCUGAGUGAAAUAGAUGGAAAAGAACAUGGAUCAGUUUCCUGUACAGAAUCAACCGCGUAGAAACAGCAUUA